rnacentral:rRNA from 1 species
AGUCGAGCGGUAACAGGAGUAGCUUGCUACUCGCUGACGAGCGGCGGACGGGUGAGUAACGCGUAGGAAUCUGCCUAAUAGUUGGGGAUAGCCCGGGGAAACCCGGAUUAAUACCGAAUACGCUCUACGGAGGAAAGCAGGGGAUCUUCGGACCUUGCGCUAUUAGAUGAGCCUGCGUGAGAUUAGCUAGUUGGUGAGGUAAUGGCUCACCAAGGCGACGAUCUCUAGCUGGUCUGAGAGGAUGAUCAGCCACACUGGGACUGAGACACGGCCCAAACUCCUACGGGAGGCAGCAGUGGGGAAUAUUGCACAAUGGGCGCAAGCCUGAUGCAGCCAUACCGCGUGUGUGAAGAAGGCCUUAGGGUUGUAAAGCACUUUCAGUAGUGAGGAAAGGGGUGUAGUUAAUACCUGCAUCCUGUGACGUUAGCUACAGAAGAAGCACCGGCUAAUUCCGUGCCAGCAGCCGCGGUAAUACGGAAGGUGCGAGCGUUAAUCGGAAUUACUGGGCGUAAAGCGCGCGUAGGUGGUUCAGUCAGUCAGAUGUGAAAGCCCCGGGCUCAACCUGGGAAUUGCACCUGAUACUGCCAGUCUAGAAUACGGUAGAGGGUAGUGGAAUUUCCUGUGUAGCGGUGAAAUGC